CAUGUCUUUUUGAUUAUAAUUUAAGGUUUAACCUGCUCAAUGAUUAUUUAAAUUGCCGCAGUAUUUUGACUGGGCAAAGGUAGCAUAAUAAUUAGUUUUUUUAUUGAAAGCUGGAAUGAAUGGUUGGACGAGAAAAUUUCUGUCUCUUAUUUAUUUUUUUUUGAAUUUUAUUUUUAAGUUAAAAAGCUUAAAUUUUUUUAAAAGACGAGAAGACCCUAUAGAGUUUUAUUUUUUUAGUGGUUUUUAUUUUUUUUGUAUUUAAAUGUUUAAUUAUUUAAAAUAAUUUGGUUGGGGUGACUUUAAGAUUUAAUUAACUCUUUUAAUUUAAUAUCAUUGAUUUAUGAAUUGUUAAUCUAUAUUUUUAAUUUUAAAUUAAAUUACCUUAGGGAUAACAGCGUAAUUUUUUUUUAAAGUUCUUAUUUAAAGAAAAGUUUGCGACCUCGAUGUUGGAUUAAAAUUUGAUUUUGGUGCAGAAGCUUAAAAUCUAAGUCUGUUCGACUUUUAAAAUUUUACAUGAUCUGAGU
rnacentral:rRNA from 1 species